AACGAACGCUGGCGGCAGGCCUAACACAUGCAAGUCGAACGCCGUAGCAAUACGGAGUGGCAGACGGGUGAGUAACGCGUGGGAACGUACCCUUCAGUUCGGAAUAACCCAGGGAAACUUGGGCUAAUACCGGAUACGUGCGAGAGCAGAAAGAUUUAUCGCUGAAGGAUCGGCCCGCGUCCGAUUAGCUAGUUGGUGAGGUAAUGGCUCACCAAGGCGACGAUCGGUAGCUGGUCUGAGAGGAUGAUCAGCCACAUUGGGACUGAGACACGGCCCAAACUCCUACGGGAGGCAGCAGUGGGGAAUAUUGGACAAUGGGCGCAAGCCUGAUCCAGCCAUGCCGCGUGAGUGAUGAAGGCCCUAGGGUUGUAAAGCUCAUUCGCCAGGGACGAUAAUAACGGUACCUGGAUAAGAAGCCCCGGCUAACUUCGUGCCAGCCGCCGCGGUAA
rnacentral:rRNA from 1 species